rnacentral:rRNA from 1 species
UCAUUAGUGGACAGAACCAUCCGGGUCGCAAGGCUCGCAAUUGUGGAUUAUAAUGACGGAGCGGAUCGCAUUCUUUGCGAUAGCUCGUUCAAGUUUCUGACCUAUCAGCUCCCGUCGGUAAGGUAUUGGCUUACCGAGGCUGUGACGGGUAACGGGGAAUUAGGGUUCGAUUCCGGAGAGGGAGCCUGGGAAACGGCUACCNCAUCCAAGGAUGGCAGCAGGCGCGCAAAUUACCCAAUCCCGAUACGGGGAGGUAGUGACCAGAAAUAGCAACUUGGGGCAUUUGCUUCAUGAUUGCAAUGGGCGGAAAGCAAAACUGUUUGCGAGUACCUAUUGGAGGGCAAGUCUGGUGCCAGCAGCCGCGGUAAUUCCAGCUCCAAUAGCGUAUAUUAAAAUUGCUGCAGUUAAAGCGUCCGUAGUUGGAUUUCGUUCGCACGGGUAGGAUGCCGAUUGAGUCUUUGGACUCAUCGUGCGCUUUCCCCAGUGAACUUGAGUGAAACAUCCAGGUUUCUGGAUGUUCUGCUCCGUUACUUUGAGCAAAUUGGAGUGCUCCAACCAGGGUUACGCUUGAACAGCUCAGCAUGGAAUAACAAGAUAGGACUUUGGUUCUUCUUGUUGGUGAUAUGAACCAAUAGUAAUGGUUGAUAAGGACAUACGGGGGCAUUUGUACUUGCUGGAGAGAGGUGAAAUUCUAAGACCCAGCAUAGACAAACAACUGCGAAAGCAUUUGCCCAGUGUGUACCUGUUAAUCAAGGACGAAAGUUGGGGGAUCAAGGACGAUCAGAUACCGUC